rnacentral:rRNA from 1 species
NGNAAUCAUCCCGGGUAAAAGAGCUUUACAACCCUAAGGCCUUCAUCACUCACGCGGCAUUGCUGGAUCAGGCUUUCGCCCAUUGUCCAAUAUUCCCUACUGCUGCCUCCCGUAGGAGUCUGGGCCGUGUCUCAGUCCCAGUGUGGCUGAUCAUCCUCUCAGACCAGCUAAGGAUCGUCGCCUUGGUGAGCCUUUACCUCACCAACUAGCUAAUCCUACGCGGGCUCAUCCUUGGGCGAUAAAUCUUUGGACUUACGUCAUCAUCCGGUAUUAGCUUCCGUUUCCAGAAGUUAUUCCGAACCCAAGGGCAGAUUCCCACGCGUUACGCACCCGUGCGCCACUAGAUCCGAAGAUCUCGUUCGACUUGCAUGUAUUAGGCAUGCCGCCAGCGUUCGUUCUGAGCCAGGAUCAANUNAAAACCCC